rnacentral:lncRNA from 1 species
CAGCUCUGGAAUAAGGAACUCACGGAGGAGAGGACCCCCGUUCAGUUCCCAGUGUUGACUGAGGAGUUGGCAUAAUUGCCAGUGAUAAAGAUGCUGGAUGAUUAGAGACAUGUCUGUGUUUACUUUGGGCAUACGUUUCACAAGUGAACCUCAUGGAUGUCCCUUCACAGCCUCUGAGACUGAAGCUCCUAUCACAGGUGACAUUCUGGUAUACUGGGUCCCUGCAGAAAAGAAAAUGCCACCAUGGCUUGUGCUUCUCCCCUGUUGCUGAGAUCUGUGGCUGAAAGGAGAUGGAGGACAAGCCUGGGGACUGGAGCAAGCUGGUACAAGCUUCCAGGAACUAUACCACAGUCAUCUCCCACAACCUGGAGACCAAGAAGACCUGAGUGAAGCUGCCUUCAGGGUCCAAGAAGGUGAAUUCCUCAGCCAACAGAGCUGUUGUUAGUGUCUUGGUUGCUAAGGGCAAAAUUGACUAGAGAUGGACAACUGGCUAACACAGAGCCACAAGGCAAGUUUGUGAAAUCACCUUGGGUCCUGGAACUCCACCCUGUGCCCCCUCUAUACUAAGGUACCAUGAUUCUUAACCUCUGAAGAUUUAAUGAUGUAAAGGGCAG